UGGGGAAUUUUGGACAAUGGGGGCAACCCUGAUCCAGCCAUGCCGCGUGCGGGAAGAAGGCCUUCGGGUUGUAAACCGCUUUUGUCAGGGAGGAAUAAAUGACGGUACUAUUUAUAAGGUCCGGCUAACUACGUGCCAGCAGCCGCGGUAAUACGUAGGGACCAAGCGUUGUUCGGAUUUACUGGGCGUAAAGGGCGCGUAGGCGGCAUGACAAGUCACUUGUGAAAUCUCUGGGCUUAACCCAGAACGGCCAAGUGAUACUGUCGCGCUAGAGUGCAGAAGGGGCAAUCGGAAUUCUUGGUGUAGCGGUGAAAUGCGUAGAUAUCAAGAGGAACACCUGAGGUGAAGACGGGUUGCUGGGCUGACACUGACGCUGAGGCGCGAAAGCCAGGGGAGCAAACGGGAUUAGAUACCCGUGUAGUCCCUGAGCGGGCUGGCAAGGCGCAU
rnacentral:rRNA from 1 species